rnacentral:rRNA from 1 species
AGUGAACGCUGGCGGUAGGCCUAACACAUGCAAGUCGAACGGCAGCACAGGAGAGCUUGCUCUCUGGGUGGCGAGUGGCGGACGGGUGAGGAAUACAUCGGAAUCUACUUUUUCGUGGGGGAUAACGUAGGGAAACUUACGCUAAUACCGCAUACGACCUACGGGUGAAAGCAGGGGAUCUUCGGACCUUGCGCGAUUGAAUGAGCCGAUGUCGGAUUAGCUAGUUGGCGGGGUAAAGGCCCACCAAGGCGACGAUCCGUAGCUGGUCUGAGAGGAUGAUCAGCCACACUGGAACUGAGACACGGUCCGGACUCCUACGGGAGGCAGCAGUGGGGAAUUUUGGACAAUGGGCGCAAGCCUGAUCCAGCCAUACCGCGUGGGUGAAGAAGGCCUUCGGGUUGUAAAGCCCUUUUGUUGGGAAAGAAAUCCAGCUGGUUAAUACCCGGUUGGGAUGACGGUACCCAAAGAAUAAGCACCGGCUAACUUCGUGCCAGCCGCCGCGGUAA